GCCGGGAUGGUCUAGUGGUUAUGACGUCUGCCUUACACGCAGAAAAUCGCGAUUUCAAUCACGUCAUGCCG
rnacentral:tRNA from 1 species